UUGAUAGGUCGGGUGUGUAAGCGCUGUGAGGCGUUGAGCUAACCGAUACUAAUUGCCCGUGAGGCUUGACCAUAUAACACCCAAACAAUU
rnacentral:rRNA from 1 species